UACGUAGGGGGCGAGCGUUGUCCGGAUUCAUUGGGCGUAAAGAGCUCGUAGGCGGCUUGGCAAGUCGGAUGUGAAAACUCCAGGCUCAACCUGGAGCCGCCAUUCGAUACUGCCAUGGCUAGAGUCCGGUAGGGGAGUGUGGAAUUCCCGGUGUAGCGGUGAAAUGCGCAGAUAUCGAGAGGAACACCUGCGGCGAAGGCGGGUUGCUGGGCUGACACUGACGCUGAUGCGCGAAAGCCAGGGGAGCGAACGGG
rnacentral:rRNA from 1 species